rfam:Spinacia oleracea cultivar SynViroflay scaffold69972.con0001.1, whole genome shotgun sequence.
UGGCUAUGAUGAAUAAAAGGCCGGACUUACGGCUGCCCCCUUAAUUGGGUUUGGUAGUAGAUUGAUGAUUAAGUCUGAGUAUGGGUUUUCUGAGCCAG